CGGGGCUGCAGCCGGCGGAGGCUGCUCUGCUUCGCUCGCCGCGGAGCCGCUUUAUAGCCCCGGAUCAGGCCGGGGCUGCCGCGUCAGCCCCACGUGGGGAACUGCCCCCGGUGCGCGCACACGCACAUACACACACACACGGACGCGGGCAGACGCGCCGCUCGCACACACACUCACACACCGCAGCUUCGCCUCCAGUGCCGACAGACUCAGCCCGCUGGAAACCCCUCAAUCCACCUGAAGCUCAACCCAGCCACAUCCACUCUGAGCUGUGACAUCAAGAAAGCAGAGCUGGAGCCUCAGCAGCACCUGUAAACACCGCAGUAGCAUCAUAUCUCCCUUUCAGCCUCCAUCCAGGUCAUCUCACAGCUCUGCCACAAUGGUGGGAAGCACCAGGGCUGGCGCAGACCCCCCAGGAUAGCCCCCAAGCACACCCACUCCUGCAGGAGGGCUGUGAUAGGAGUCCAUCCCACGCAUUACGAGGUGGGGCUUCCAUCCUUGUGUGUGCAGACCCUGCGCGCAGCGCAUCACAGAGGGGAAUCCAUCAUCCUUACUGAGCCCGUUCCCUCCUUGGCUACAAUACAAUUAACCCCGUACAGAUUGCAAGGCAGCAAGGUAAAUUAUCGCCACACAGAAUUAAAGAGCAAAAUAAUCCACGACUUGGUCUGAAGCAUCACUGGUGAAGAACCUUUUCCUGAUACCCAACCUGACCCUCCUCAUCACAGCUUCAUGCCACCGGGUGGAAAGGGAAAGCAAAUGUGAAGAGACGCUUGAUCUCCCAAGAG
ensembl:lncRNA